UCCUGCUCCACCCGCUGGUGGAGCGGGAGGGUCCUGGACAGCUCCUGGCAGCUCACAGGCUCUGCGAGGCGGCUCCUGUCUUCUUGCGGGCUGUGUAAGCAAUAGAAACGGCUCCGGUUAUUUCCUGAGUUUUGCUGGGUUGCCUCCUCCGUGUCUCAAGGGACCAAGGUCCCCAAAUGCAAGCUCUUUCCCAGGAAAGGCUGUCCUGGGGAGUGGCUUCCUUGGUAGAAAUACAUGGGACACGGGUCAGACAAGAGGUGCAGGCACCUGUGGCUAUGAACCAGCUUCCAGGGGGAGGCCUAUCCGGGCAGGGCUAGGGUACAUAGCCAGAGAGAGAGAGAGAGAGAGACAGGGAGCACACAAAUGGGAGGAAAAUCCUGAGGCCCUUCUUGGGAGACCACCUUCUGUCGGCGCCUCGCCCACAUGUCCCAUACCUGGCAGGUGCACCCGUGUGCCUGCCGGGGUGGGGGUUGGCUCAUGCCAGCUCCUGGCUGGCCCCUCUUCCUCUGGCACUGGCUUUGGUUGAUGGGACCCACUUAACUCAGCUAGGUGCGAGCUCACACACCCCCCAACCUGGGGCCCGGGCCGGCGUGGCCCGCAGCCCCUGCCAGGGUGACAAAGGCCUGGACUCUGUGCUAAGGGGAAUCGGAACAUCCAUCAGGACGCCUUGUGGCGUCAGGUGGCGGCGUACUGAGCAGCAUCCCAGGUUUCUUGGGCCUAGCAGUUUGGGUUGGGCAAACCGAGGCAGUCGGGGAGUUGGUCGCUCCGGACUCCAGCAGGAUCGCCCAGGUCCCUCCACACGUCCCUCCUGGGAGCUCAGCCCUGCUUCUCAGAGCCUGACCCGAGCCCCCUGGCGAGACCUUUGUCCUGGUUUUCCCUCCUGUCUGAGUGCCGCCUGCACUCACGGGGAUGCUUGGCUGCGGGCAGGCGGCUUGUGUUCUGGCCAGCAGGGUUCCCAGCGGAGGUUGGCUUUCUCUGUCUCAGUGAUGCCAUGCACGUCUGCUCGUCAUGCUGCUCUCUCUGCAGGGGCUCUGCGCAGUCGUCCUAAGUGCCCCAGUACGUGGGUUCCCCUUAAAGACCUCAUGUCUCCCAGGCCCGCCGUUUGGUCUAAAACCAGGCCAUGGCGCUGA
rnacentral:lncRNA from 1 species